rnacentral:rRNA from 1 species
CUCCUACGGGAGGCAGCAGUGGGGGAUAUUGCACAAUGGGGGAAACCCUGAUGCAGCGACGCCGCGUGGAGGAAGAAGGUUUUCGGAUUGUAAACUCCUGUCGUUAGGGACGAUAAUGACGGUACCUAACAAGAAAGCACCGGCUAACUACGUGCCAGCAGCCGCGGUAAAACGUAGGGUGCAAGCGUUGUCCGGAAUUACUGGGUGUAAAGGGAGCGCAGGCGGGAAGACAAGUUGGAAGUGAAAACCAUGGGCUCAACCCAUGAAUUGCUUUCAAAACUGUUUUUCUUGAGUAGUGCAGAGGUAGAUGGAAUUCCCGGUGUAGCGGUGGAAUGCGUAGAUAUCGGGAGGAACACCAGUGGCGAAGGCGGUCUACUGGGCACCAACUGACGCUGAGGCUCGAAAGCAUGGGUAGCAAACAGGAUUAGAUACCCUGGUAGUCCAUGCCGUAAACGAUGAUUACUAGGUGUUGGGGGAUUGACCCCCUCAGUGCCGCAGUUAACACAAUAAGUAAUCCACCUGGGGAGUACGACCGCAAGGUUGAAACUCAAAGGAAUUGACGGGGGCCCGCACAAGCAGUGGAGUAUGUGGUUUAAUUCGAAGCAACGCGAAGAACCUUACCAGGUCUUGACAUCCGAUGCAUAACACAGAGAUGUGUGAAAUCCUUCGGGACAUCGAGACAGGUGGUGCAUGGUUGUCGUCAGCUCGUGUCGUGAGAUGUUGGGUUAAGUCCCGCAACGAGCGCAACCCUUAUUGCCAGUUACUACGUUAAGAGGACUCUGGCGAGACUGCCGUUGACAAAACGGAGGAAGGUGGGGAUGACGUCAAAUCAUCAUGCCCUUUAUGACCUGGGCUACACACGUACUACAAUGGCGUUAAACAAAGAGAAGCAAGACCGCGAGGUGGAGCAAAACUCAAAAACAACGUCUCAGUUCAGAUUGCAGGCUGCAACUCGCCUGCAUGAAGUCGGAAUUGCUAGUAAUCGCGGAUCAGCAUGCCGCGGUGAAUACGUUCCCGGGCCUUGUACACACCGC